AUAAUACUUCCUCCGGCCAAAAUUACUUUUCGCAGAAAUGUAUGAAAAUGAAUGUGUCUAGACCUAAAAUACGUCUAGAUACAUUCAUUUUUUCGACAAAUAGUUUCGGAUGGAGGGAGUAUGUU
rfam:Triticum aestivum genome assembly, contig: Triticum_aestivum_CS42_TGACv1_scaffold_291244_4AL